AAUAUGUUUACUGCUAAAUUCUUCUCAUGGGUGUUUUCCUCUGCAUGCCAUGAGAAAGGCACUCUUUUUUACAUGUUCCAAAUGCAUGCUUAAUUUAAGAACACCUGCAAACAACCCUGUCCUUGGCUCCUUGCUACUAAUGGAGAGGGCAACACCUCACACACAAACAGUAAGAUAGACUUCGGAGACACUACAUGUUGAGCAGGCAGAACUUGUCCAAACAGACUCAUGUGAUGGGAACAUUAUGAAAAAAAUGUUGAGCCAUAAGGUGACUACCUGGUAGAGCCUGACUUUCUCUUAACAGAACCCCACUGAUCAGUCCUACAAUAUAAAACAAUCAUGAACAUCAACUCAUGGCCCAUAAAGAACAUGGUCAACAUGAAAAUUUAUUCAUUUUCUGCAACAGAUAUAUAGCCUAUUUUACCAAGUAUACAAAGCAUUUCAAGGGGGUACAUUCCCAAAGCGCAUGAACAUGCUUGCUUUUAUAGCCAAGCAACUCAUUUUUUUCCUCAGCUACGUGCAGCCCAUUCACAAAACUAAAUUAACAAUUCAUAACCCCAAUGUCAUCCAUACAUAAUUGGCCACCAGCAGAUAACACAAAAAACAAAACAAAAUAAAAAUAAUAACCAAGCAAGGUUAAUUGAAUCACCGAUAUGGUUACAUUUAACCAUUACAAAAAGAAAGAAAUAUGUAC
rnacentral:lncRNA from 1 species